UGCAGGGAGGAAAGUGUCUCUA
rnacentral:piRNA from 1 species